rnacentral:misc_RNA from 1 species
GUGUUAAAAAUAUAAGUAUCUCCUGCACAGAGAAAGUUCAAUUUAAUCAGCCACUUUAUCGAGUGGCUUUUUUACGUCUUAAUUUUAUUAAUAGCAUCUUUAAAAUUAAUGUCAAACCCCACAAGUCAACACCUCUGAGUUAAAAGGGAUAAUUUUAUAAAAACCCAUAAGUCAACACCACUAAACCCCACAAGUCAACACCACUAAAACCCCACAAGUCAACACCCUAAUAAUACAGAUAAUAAACUAAUGUAGAUUAUUUAAGAAAGAUCCUUUAAUAAAGAGUCAAAUUGAGAUUUAUUUUUUAUUUAGAAAAGACAUUUUUGAAGAGCAUUGGCGCAAGCGCCUUUCUGGUUUGGCGAUUUGAGCUUGCUCAAUGAGAUAUGAAAUAAAUAUUAAAGCUAACCUAUCUAAAAUUGCUUUUUAAGAGCGGGU